rnacentral:rRNA from 1 species
ACGGCUCAGUAACACGUGGAUAACCUGCCCUUGGGUCCGGCAUAACCCCGGGAAACUGGGGAUAAUUCCGGAUAACGCACAUAUGCUGGAAUGCUUUAUGCGUAAAAUGGAUUCGUCUGCCCAAGGAUGGGUCUGCGGCCUAUCAGGUAGUAGUGGGUGUAAUGUACCUACUAGCCGACAACGGGUACGGGUUGUGAGAGCAAGAGCCCGGAGAUGGAUUCUGAGACAUGAAUCCAGGCCCUACGGGGCGCAGCAGGCGCGAAAACUUUACAAUGCGGGAAACCGUGAUAAGGGGACACCGAGUGCCAGCAUCAUAUGCUGGCUGUCCAGGUGUGUAAAAUACACCUGUUAGCAAGGGCCGGGCAAGACCGGUGCCAGCCGCCGCGGUAACACCGGCGGCCCGAGUGGUGAUCGUGAUUAUUGGGUCUAAAGGGUCCGUACCCGGUUUGGUCAGUCCUCCGGGAAAUCUGAUAGCUCAACUAUUAGGCUUUCGGGGGAUACUGCCAGACUUGGAACCGGGAGAGGUAAGAGGUACUACAGGGGUAGGAGUGAAAUCUUGUAAUCCCUGUGGGACCACCUGUGGCGAAGGCGUCUUACCAGAACGGGUUCGACGGUGAGGGACGAAAGCUGGGGGCACGAACCGGAUUAGAUACCCGGGUAGUCCCAGCCGUAAACGAUGCUCGCUAGGUGUCAGGCAUGGCGCGACCGUGUCUGGUGCCGCAGGGAAGCCGUGAAGCGAGCCACCUGGGAAGUACGGCCGCAAGGCUGAAACUUAAAGAAAUUGGCGGGGGAGCAC